rnacentral:tRNA from 1 species
CAUUGAAUGGCUGAAAUUUAAGUAAUGGUCUCUUAAACCAAAAUAUAGUAUUUAUACUUUCAAUGA